rnacentral:rRNA from 1 species
UAAGGAAUAUUGCUCAAUGGGAGAAAUCCUGAAGCAGCAACGCCGCGUGGAGGAUGAAGGGUCUAUGACUUGUAAACUCCUGUAAAGAAGGAAAAAAUUCCCAUUAGAUGGGAGAUGAUGGUACUUCUGGAGUAAGCCCCGGCUAAUUACGUGCCAGCAGCCGCGGUAAUACGUAGGGGGCAAGCGUUGUCCGGAUUUACUGGGUGUAAAGGGUGCUCAGGCGGAUUUGCAAGUCAGAGGUGAAAUCUUACAGCUUAACUGUGAAACUGCCUUUGAUACUGCAAGCCUAGAGUAUGGAAGAGAGUGAUGGAAUAUCUGGUGUAGCAGUGAAAUGCGUAGAUAUCAGAUAGAACACCAAUGGCGAAGGCAGUCACUUGGUCCAUUACUGACGCUAAAGCACGAAAGCGUGGGUAGCAAACA